rnacentral:rRNA from 1 species
CCUACGGGGAGCAGCAGUGGGGAAUAUUGCACAAUGGGGGAAACCCUGAUGCAGCGACGCCGCGUGAGGGAAGAAGGAUUUCGGAAUGUAAAGCCCUGUCAGCAGGGAAGAAAAUGACGGUACCUGACGAAGAAGCCCCGGCUAACUACGUGCCAGCAGCCGCGGUAAUACGUAGGGGGCAAGCGUUAUCCGGAUUUACUGGGUGUAAAGGGAGCGUAGACGGCAGGGCAAGUCUGGUGUGAAAGGCGGGGGCUCAACCCCCGGCCUGCACUGGAAACUGCCAGGCUUGAGUGCAGGAGAGGCAAGUGGAAUUCCUAGUGUAGCGGUGAAAUGCGUAGAUAUUAGGAGGAACACCAGUGGCGAAGGCGGCUUACUGGACUGUAACUGACGUUGAGGCUCGAAAGCGUGGGGAGCAAACAGGAUUAGAUACCCUAGUAGUC